CUGAUGAACAGUAGCCCGUCAGUCUCCUCUGUCCCUUGGGAUUUUCCAGACAAGAAUACUGGAAUGGGUUACCAUUUAUAUACAGAAAGGUAAAAAGGAAUCUGAUCAUUGGAAUGCCCAAGGCCAGAAAAGGACAUGAUGAAUCUAUCUCAAGGAGUUAGCAGAUGCCCAAAUUGUUACUAUGAUAUCUGCUUCCAAUGACAGCCAGAUAGCCACCAAACAAGCCACCUCCACACUAAAGAAACCGCUUACUGACCACUCUGGGCUUUGUGUGCCUAAGGAUGGCAGCAGUAAUGAUCUGCCUACCAGUCCUUUAGAGCGUCCAAUACUGCCAACAGUCAAGGCCAAGCUAGCCACUAUCAUAGGACCAGUAGCUAAUGGAAGUCAGUUUACCCAUCGGAUCCCUGUCCUCCACGGAUGAUGAAACAGUACUUACACUGUGGGCCUGGUCAGGAUGUUUUCCAUGCGCUUAAACAGAGUUCCCAGAAAUGGACCAUUAUGUGUACUUUAAGCUAUAGGCUACAUCCCUUUAGUGAUUAACUUGUGGCAAAAAGAAUAAAAUACAAAGGUUAAAGUAAAAUAAAUGAAUCCGAUAUGAAAUCAGACUUAUUCCCCUUGCACAAAAUUUGAAAGCUCUAGAGUUUAUGGUAUACUCUUCUUAUCACCAG
rnacentral:lncRNA from 1 species